AUGCUCACCUCUAUAGCACAUAUACUAAAAUUGGAACGGUACAGAGAAGAUUAGCAUGGCUUCAAGGAUGACAUGCAAAUUCACGAAGAGUUCCAUAUUUUA
ensembl:snRNA U6 U6 spliceosomal RNA